ACAGGAUCGGAUGAAGAUGGUUUCACAU
rnacentral:piRNA from 1 species